GAGUGCUGCCUAGACGGCCGCGGGUGGUCUUGCGCCACACGAGGAAAGUCCGGGCUCCAUAGGGCGCGAUGGUGGUUAACGACCACCGGGGGCAACCCCAGGGAAAGUGCCGCAGAAAGUAAACCGCCUAAGCGCUUCGGCGCCGGUAAGGGUGAAAGGGUGAGGUAAGAGCUCACCGCGCGUUUGGUGACAAGCGUGGCAGGGUAAACCCCAUCGGGAGAAAGCUCAUGUAGGGAGGAARGGUGCGGCCCRUACCGUUUGGACCUCCGGGUAGAGCGUUUGAGGCCGUCAGCAAUGGCGGUCCUAGAGAAAUGGUCGUCACCUCUUCGGAGGGACAGGACCCGGCUUACUGGCAGCACUCAUUU
rnacentral:RNase_P_RNA from 1 species